rnacentral:rRNA from 1 species
CCCGGGAGGGGAGUGAAAUAGAUCCUGAAACCGCAUGCAUACAAACAGUCGGAGCCUCUUCGGGGGUGACGGCGUACCUUUUGUAUAAUGGGUCAGCGACUUACGUUCAGUAGCAAGCUUAACCGAAUAGGGCAGGCGUAGCGAAAGCGAGUCCGAAUAGGGCGUUCAGUUGCUGGGCGUAGACCCGAAACCAGGUGAUCUAUCCAUGGCCAGGAUGAAGGUGCGGUAACACGUACUGGAGGUCCGAACCCACUAACGUUGAAAAGUUAGGGGAUGAGCUGUGGAUAGGGGUGAAAGGCUAAACAAACCUGGAAAUAGCUGGUUCUCUCCGAAAACUAUUUAGGUAGUGCCUCGUGUCUCACCUUCGGGGGUAGAGCACUGUCAUGGUUGGGGGGUCUAUUGCAGAUUACCCCGCCAUAGCAAACUCCGAAUACCGAAGAGUGCAAUCACGGGAGACAGACAUCGGG